rnacentral:lncRNA from 1 species
GAUACCGAAAUUAUGACAUAUUCAACAACAUUGUGAAAAGCAACCCAGACUUAGCAAGUGAGGGUAUAACAUAUUCAACAACAUUGUGAAAAGCAACCCAGACUUAGCAAGUGAGGGUAUAACAUAUUCAACAACAUUGUGAAAAGCAACCCAGACUUAGCAAGUGAGGGUAUAACAUAUUCAACAACAUUGUGAAAAGCAACCCAGACUUAGCAAGUGAGGGGAAAACUUUAUCUUACAAUUGGUUAAUAGUUAGGUACAAAAAAGAAGCUCAAUUAAUUGGCUUAAUUGGUGUAUUUUCUGAAAACGGAAUACUUAUCAUAUCCUUGUAACUUUAAUCUCUCCCUAGUUUUUUCAAUAAAAAUAUCUUGCUGAUAAAAAAA